UCCGCCGAUAGGCCCUCACCACCCUGCUCCACCUGCCGGCGGCCGGGCCCGUCUUCGCGCACUACAAGCAGGCGUACUACGCCAUCCUUGCCUUCGUCCUCUUCGUCGCCGUGCCAGUGGUGCUAGCCACCGCCUUCUGCCUGCUGCGCUGCACCGACGGUCGCCGCCGCCGCCUCCUCGGCUUCGCCAGGGGCCUCCUGCCCUGUGUUUACGUGCUGCUCCUCGUCGUCAUCUCUGUGGGAACGGUUUUCUAGGAAAAAGUUAGACAAGUAGCAUUUCUAAAUGAAGGAAAUGGAGCCAUUCCAGAAGAAGCACGCGAAUAUGCCCUUUUUUCCGCAGUUUACUACUCUACUCGAGCAGCACAGAUCCUAGAUGGAGAAAGAUUGGUCCAACCGGAUGUUGAAAUGAGGCGGUUUCGGGUGUAUAAUAAGAGCAAGAUGGAUCUUGUGGGCUUGGCUAUCAUAAUACUAGAUUACUCUUCAGUUUAAUUGAGCUCCUCCUUAUUCGCUUUUAGUUAUUUUGUGUUAUUGCCAUUCAAUUAAUGCAGGGGUUAUUUAAUU